rnacentral:rRNA from 1 species
UACGAAGGGGGCUAGCGUUGCUCGGAAUCACUGGGCGUAAAGGGCGCGUAGGCGGCCAUUCAAGUCAGAGGUGAAAGCCCAGGGCUUAACCCUGGAAUUGCCUUUGAUACUGUUUGGCUUGAGACCGGAAGAGGUUAGUGGAACUGCGAGUGUAGAGGUGAAAUUCGUAGAUAUUCGCAAGAACACCAGUGGCGAAGGCGGCUAACUGGUCCGGUUCUGACGCUGAGGCGCGAAAAGCGUGGGGAGCAAACAGG